UGAAAAGGCUUCCCUGGUGCAAUCAUUUUUAAACUAAUCCUUGGAAGAGUUGUUCUAUGGUUUGAGGAAGUACUUUAUAAUGCCGUUGUUGGAAUCAUCUUUAUCUUCUGUUAUUUCAAUCCAGUAGAUUCUCCAACUCGACACAGAUAUUUCAUUUACUAUUCUGUUAUGAUUACAGAAAAUAGCAUUCUCAUGUUAAUAUGGAAUUUCUACGGCAAUAAUUUUCUGAACUAUCGACUGCCAAUUUUUGUGGUACAUUAUGCAUUAUUUUUAUUGGGAUUUGCAUUUAUGAUUACUUACUAUUUACGUUUUCAUCCAACGAAAAAUAUAAAAGUGUUUUUAAACAGGACAGAGAUGAUUAACGGACCGUCCGCAGAUCACAAUUUAGUCAACAAAGAACGGUACGUAGUCAGAUUAUAAGAAGAAUCUAGCGAUUUACAGUAGUAGUACUCAACAAAGUCGAUGACUACUACUAGUGUAGAAAAACUGCAAAACUCAUCAUGACUGUUUUUUUAAAUGCAACUUCGCAUCUUUCAGAAGUUUUUAUAUCUAUGAAAUUGUUGAUAUUAUUGUUACUACUAUACAGAAAAGAAUAUUUUUAUUUAAAGUCGACCAAAAAAUGCAGUGUGAUGUAAACACUGAAUAAUUAUAUUUAUGAUAGAUUACACAAUUUGUAUUGGAUUCGACACUCAAUUAGCAAUCAGCUAAUAAAUGUUUGUAUUUAUACGAAA